rnacentral:rRNA from 1 species
UAUAGCGUAAAAUAAAGCCGGAUAAUACGAAUAAUAUUUAAAAUCCAAAGAACUUGGCGGUGUCUUAUCACUACAGGGGAACCUGUCCCUUAAUUCGAUAAUCCACGUUCAUACUACCUAAAAUUGAAUAUCAGCCUGUGUACUGCCGUCGUCAGUAUACCUCUAAAAGAUUAUAAGUAUACAACAAUGUAAUAUAACAUUAACGUCAGGUCAAAGUGCAGCCAAUAUUUAGGAGCUAGAUGGGUUACAACCUAAACCAAGAAACGGAAAUUUAAUUAAUAAAUUAAAUUAAAGGUGGACUUGUAAGUAAUUUUAGUAAAUUAUAUUAAAAUGAACCAGAAUCUAAGACAUGCACACAUCGCCCGUCACUCU